rnacentral:rRNA from 1 species
ACGAACGCUGGCGGCAUGCCUAACACAUGCAAGUCGAACGAGACCUUCGGGUCUAGUGGCGCACGGGUGCGUAACGCGUGGGAAUCUGCCCUUUGCUACGGAAUAACUCGGGGAAACUCGUGCUAAUACCGUAUGAUGUCGCAAGACCAAAGAUUUAUCGGCAAGGGAUGAGCCCGCGUAGGAUUAGCUAGUUGGUGAGGUAAAGGCUCACCAAGGCGACGAUCCUUAGCGGUCUGAGAGGAUGAUCAGCCACACUGGGACUGAGACACGGCCCAGACUCCUACGGGAGGCAGCAGUAGGGAAUAUUGGGCAAUGGAGGCAACUCUGACCCAGCCAUGCCGCGUGCAGGAAGAAGGCCCUCAGGGUUGUAAACUGCUUUAGAUGGAGAAGAAUAAGCUCUACGAGUUAGAGUG